rnacentral:rRNA from 1 species
GACGGAGGAUGCAAGCGUUAUCCGGAAUGAUUGGGCGUAAAGCGUCCGCAGGUGGCAGUUCAAGUCUGCUGUCAAAGACCGGGGCUUAACUUCGGAAAGGCAGUGGAAACUGAACAGCUAGAGUAUGGUAGGGGCAGAGGGAAUUCCCAGUGUAGCGGUGAAAUGCGUAGAGAUUGGGAAGAACACCGGUGGCGAAAGCGCUCUGCUGGGCCGCAACUGACACUAAUGGACGAAAGCUAGGGGAGCGAAUGGG